AUACGGAAGGUCCGGGCGUUAUCCGGAUUUAUUGGGUUUAAAGGGAGCGCAGGCGGGAGUCUAAGCGUGCCGUGAAAAGCUGUGGCUCAACCACAGUCGUGCGGCGCGAACUGGUCUUCUUGAGUUCACGGUAAGCGGGCGGAAUUCGUGGUGUAGCGGUGAAAUGCUUAGAUAUCGCGAGGAACCCCGAUUGCGAAGGCAGCCCGCUGCAGUGUUACUGACGCUCAUGCUCGAAGGCGCGGGUAUCGAACAGGAUUAGAUACCCUGGUAGUCCGCGCGGUAAACGAUGGAUGCCCGCUGUGCGCCCUGUGUGGUGCGCGGCCAAGCGAAAGCGUUAAGCAUCCCACCUGGGGAGUACGCCGGCAACGGUGAAACUCAAAGGAAUUGACGGGG
rnacentral:rRNA from 1 species